UACGUAGGGUCCGAGCGUUGUUCGGAUUCACUGGGCGUAAAGGGUGCGUAGGCGGUCGGGUAAGUCUGGCGUGAAAUCUCCAAGCCUAACUUGGAAACUGCGUUGGAUACUAUCCGGCUCGAGGAAUGGAGGGGAGACUGGAAUACUUGGUGUAGCAGUGAAAUGCGUAGAUAUCAAGUGGAACACCAGUGGCGAAGGCGAGUCUCUGGACAUUUCCUGACGCUGAGGCACGAAAGCCAGGGGAGCAAACGGG
rnacentral:rRNA from 1 species